CUCCGCCUUAUCCUUCACCACGCAGCUCUCCACCGGCAGUCCAGCACGCACCGCUCGACCAGCUCGCCGCCGUGCAACAACUUCGCGCGCCACCUCUGCUACGAGCCCCUCCACAACCGCGCACGGGGAAUCCAGCCGGGUGCCUGAAUCGUCUAACUUCCAAGGCCGCGCACGGGCGCGCCCUUGUCCCGGCAACGAGCCGCGUUGCAAGCUCACAUGCUGGUGUGCGUGAACCGGCGACGGGCCGUGCUGGAUCCAGCUAUCCGCCAUGCUGGAACUAGUCGAGGUUUUCGCUGCACGUCUCAGGCACCCGGUGGCACCGCGCGGCUGCAAGCCUCAACCAGGUUGCUGGAAGCGCUGAGCGUGGAAGCUGGAAGCGGCAACGUCAGAUGCUGGAACCGAUGAGUGGAGAUACUGCAGCGGUGAGCGUGGAAGCUGGAAGCGGCAACGUCAGAUGCUGGAACCGAUGAGUGGAGAUACUGCAGCGGCGAGCCGUGAGCGUGGAAGCUGGAAGCGGCAACGUCAGAUGUUGGAACCGAUGAGUGGAGAUACUGCAGCGGCGAGCGGCGAGCAAGAGAGGGGCACGAGAUGCUGCAUCCGGCGAGCAAUUUUGCUGGAACCGGCUACUCCAGGAGCUACAAGCCUACAACGGGGCAUCGGUGCGCAUCAAGAGUCCUGGGAACCAGCGCGGCUGGGACCGGCGCCCAAUUUUGCUGCAUCCAGCCAGAGAUUUUGCUGGAACCGGCAACGCCGGGAGCCACAACGGGGCGGCGGGCGCGUCAAGGAUGCUGGGACCAGCACCCUGUUUUGCUGCAUCCAGCCAGCGAUUUUGCUGGAACCAGAACGCAUCCUCACCGGCGUCAGAAGAAGAACGAAGAAGUUGGUGGUCGGGGCACCCACGCAACAAAAGCUACAACGGCGACCUAGAAAGCUUCAACCGGCUACCAGAAAGCUUCAACGGAAAAGACGGAGAAGUUCGUCGCCGGGCACCGCGCAUCUAAGCUGCAACCAGCGGCCUAGAAAGCUUCAACUGGCUAAAGGCGACAACGAGCGGCUACUGGUGCUGCGAUGACUGGUGGUGCGGGAGGGAGGGCGCGGCGACCAGCUAAUGGUGCUGCGACGAGCAGCGCCGUGCGGGAGGACGUGGGUACUGCCACGCCGCGCCGGGGGCACCCACGCCACCCCCUCCCUGACCUGCUCAUUACACGUCCCUUCUAUUCAUCUUUAUUUUUUUACUUCAACCUUUAUUUAUAUAUGUUCUUUCCAGC
rnacentral:rRNA from 1 species